AUGCACAGACCCAGAAGAUCCCUCCAUCCUGUAGCACCUGCCAUGAGCAUCGGGCUCCUGUGCUGUGCGGCCUUUUCUCUCCUGUGGGCAGGUCCAGUGAAUGCUGGUGUCACUCAGACCCCAAAAUUCCAGGUCCUGAAGACAGGACAGAGCAUGACACUGCAGUGUGCCCAGGAUAUGAACCAUAACUACAUGUACUGGUAUCGACAAGACCCAGGCAUGGGGCUGAGGCUGAUUCGUUACUCAGUUGGUGAGGGUAUCACUGACAAAGGAGAAGUCCCCGAUGGCUACAGUGUCUCCAGAUUAAACAAACAGGAUUUCCCGCUCAGGCUGGAGUCGGCUGCUCCCUCCCAGACAUCUGUGUACUUCUGUGCCAGCAGUAGGGAAAGUCAUGACUACACAGCCUUAUAG